ensembl:misc_RNA Metazoa_SRP Metazoan signal recognition particle RNA
GCCGGGCGCGGUGGCUCACGCCUGUAAUCCCAGCACUUUGGGAGGCUGAGGCGGGCGGAUCACCUGAGGUCAGGGGUUCGAAAAGAGCCUGACCAACAUGGUAAAACCCCGUCUCUA